rnacentral:rRNA from 1 species
GAUGAACGCUGGCGGCGUGCCUAAUACAUGCAAGUCGAGCGAACGGACGAGAAGCUUGCUUCUCUGAUGUUAGCGGCGGACGGGUGAGUAACACGUGGAUAACCUACCUAUAAGACUGGGAUAACUUCGGGAAACCGGAGCUAAUACCGGAUAAUAUUUUGAACCGCAUGGUUCAAAAGUGAAAGACGGUCUUGCUGUCACUUAUAGAUGGAUCCGCGCUGCAUUAGCUAGUUGGUAAGGUAACGGCUUACCAAGGCAACGAUGCAUAGCCGACCUGAGAGGGUGAUCGGCCACACUGGAACUGCGACACGGCCCAGACUCCUACGGGAGGCAGCAGUAGGGAAUCUUCCGCAAUGGGCGAAAGCCUGACGGAGCAACGCCGCGUGAGUGAUGAAGGUCUUCGGAUCGUAAAACUCUGUUAUUAGGGAAGAACAUAUGUGUAAGUAACUGUGCACAUCUUGACGGUACCUAAUCAGAAAGCCACGGCUAACUACGUG